GGGGUGGCAGGGAUUAAGUCACCUCUGUUCUCUACCUCCCAUGCCUCUCUCCUCACCUGGAUUCACAAAUUUAAAGAUGGGGAUCGAGGUCUGAGGACACCAAAGGGCAAGGGGAGCCCUGGGGUCAGAUACUGUAUAGUCAGCUGUGAACUCCAGAUAGAGGCAAGAGCGGAUGCGAAGGGCGGGCUCCUAGAACCAGGGUUAGAGCAAGAGCAGAGGGAGCUUCGCAGAACAGCGAGUGCUGUGGCGACUACAGGGCAUCAGAGGUGACAAGUAAUCAACCACUCCUCUUUCACUGAACCCAGCCUUAGGGAGUUAGGGUUUCCCCAGAGUCUGGACAACAGGCCUUAAGACAAGGGAAGAGAAGGGUGGGUAUGAUGGAAAUACUUGGUGCUGUUCUGCCUUCCAGGACUCCCUCCCCCUGGUUCCCUUAUUUCUAAGUCGGCUUUGCCAACUGCUGUGUGGCUACCAAGGGAGGGAAAGAGACACCCUCCUCCAGAGUUCUAUGCUCAGGAAGUUUCUUUAACCCUGUGGUUCAAGAGUAGCUUGAAGGAGGCCCCUGAAAAACAAACAAACAAACAAACAAACAAAGCCAACCCUGGUAGGGUUCAUCCUUACAUUCCCAAGGUGGGAGGAGCUCAGGUAAGAGAAGAGUCCCAAGAUGCACUUCAAGCCUGGGGCUGGAGCCAAAGCAGAGGAAGAACUAGGCACUGACCGAGCAUUCAAGGACCAAGGUCCUUUCAAAUCCAGGGCACAGCUGUGAUGACAGAGAGCCCCACACCUCUUUAGUCCUCUAAAAAGGGAGAUGGGGGUGAAAUCAAUGGGGAUUUCUCCCUGACUUAGCAAACAAGGAAGCAGGCAGAAGAGAACAGCUCAGGAUUUACUGGUGGAGGGAAAAGGAGCCGGGAACAAUAGUCCAUUGUUCGCUAAAGAGAAACAGUGUUGUGAAGACUGGACCAUGACUGGCUGAGGUGGCUUCCUUGGGGACUGACUCCUGGGUAGUAGUAAGCCUUCGGUAGCAGACCUGCCUUCAGCCAGGGACCUGAGGGGAGCUUCUACAGGGCACAGGCUGUCCCAAGUGUCACUGUCUUGUCCCAGCCUCUUAAGAAAGGACUUGAUUUUUUUUAUUACCUUGAGGAUUCUGGGAGGGAAUUCGGGGCUGUGACUCUGUACCGUGGUCACCCUGAAGUAUAGCAACAGAAGGAGGCUGGGCUAUGAAGAACACCUGUGCUUGCUCUGUUCUGGAGUUUGCCUCACCCUAACUGCCAGUCUGGGAUGUGGCUUGGGCUGUGUCAUUGGCCUUGACUGUUCAGCAGGCUUUCCUGGCCUGUCUGCCCAUGACCUGAGAUCAACUCACCCUGGUACACCACCUGAGUCCCACUAUCUCCCUGUGAUGGGUGACCUUUGUGUACUGUGUCUUGGGUCCAUUAUAUGAAUUGUGAGCAGGGUUCAUCUAUUUUAAACACAAAUGUUUACAAAAUAAAGAAUAUUUCAAACC
rnacentral:lncRNA from 1 species